rnacentral:lncRNA from 13 species
UGUUCUACAGUUGUUCUCUCUCUCUCUCUCUCUCUCUCUCUCUCUCUAACCCUCCUGUCUCCAGUCUCUCUCCACAUCAACGCAAGCGGCACUGGGCUUAGCCGUAUUUGUAUUAUUAAUCCACACGCUGGCUGGAUCCCUCAAACAAGAAGAGCCCAGCCAUCACUCCGGCUGGUGCCUGGGAGAAUUCACUGGAGGUCCGACCGAACGGCCCCGGGAUCUAGAGUCCGGGGUCCAGAUUCCAGGGUCCAGAGUCCAGGGUCCAGGGUCAAGAGUCCAGGGUCAAGAGUCCAGGGUCAAGGGUUCAGGGUCAAGAGUCCAUGUCCAGAGUCCAGCCAUUCCUGGAGUGAGUGCAACAGAAGAGACAGGCAUGCAUCCUUUCGUCAACAUCAGGAGGUAAGCCAACAGUAGUAGGGUCAUUCACUGGGGAGAUACUGCCAUGGGGCAUCUGUUUGCUUCCAUUAAUUCCAAUAAAAUGAAAUAAAUAAAAUCCAUAAAAGCUGGUUCAGUAUGGCAAUAGUCCAGUUUGCAUACAGAUGUAGGAUCUUAAUUUGAUCACUAUUUUGUUGUUGAGAAUUUUCCAACGCAGGAAAUGCAACGUUGUGGUGUAUUUGAGUUUUUAAAAGGCUUUAAAGUUUGUAAAUUCCACUUUGAAAUGUCAUACUUGAUUUUCCCUAACAAAAAAUGUAUCAAUCCCUACAAAAAUGUUCAUUCAUUACAAUCCACAUAAUAAUUCACAUUUCCUGUUGCUGCAGGAUUUUUUUCCUGCUGCCUCAAAUUAAAAUCCUACAUCAGAAUUUUUGAGGUGGUAAAAAUGAAAAACACCUCUCUUUUUGUCGUUUUUAUUGGCCUUAGCAGUGGAGCCCUGUAGACCUCCCAGAGAGCUGGUUGGUAACGAAGGACCAUAUUUAUGAGGGCUUGAAUAGCCAGGUAAUACCAUCAUUUGGGACUGGAUUGACAGUUCUUUACUAGCAUAGAAAAGCGUAUUUAUUACCUGCAAUAUGAACCGUGAAAUGCAACACCUGUAGAAUAGGGAACAGUAAGUGACAGCCAGCCUCAAUCAUUUGUUACAACAUCUGAGAGGUACUGUCAUUAACCGAUAAGUGGACCAUAAACAUGGCCAUGCCUUCUCUCACACACUCUACUAUAUAUAUAUAAAAGUGUAAAGAAGAUAUGGGCCGAUAAACAUUUUGUUGGUACAUGUUGGUAGCAUUGCCUGAGUCAUUAAAUGUGUAAGAAUACAAUGCUAAAGCACAAAACCGUUGUAUUUGGAGCAGUGUUCCAAAGCUUUGAUUGAUGAGAACUGAAAAUAUGUUUAUAAAAGGACAGGUUUAUAUUUGUUAAAGGUAUAAUUUGUGGGAAGGGGAGGGUAUCAGGACUGAGUACUCUAAUGUGCAAUUUCCUCAGGUUAGUGUCUGUGGAGAGACUUCAUGUAUUAACAGUGGGUGUUUUUUUAUCACACAGAUAAAGACUUUAUGUUCCCGGUAUAACAUGGAGUCAGGACCACAAAGCAGACUGAAAAAAGCCUGGAGAUAAUGGUUUCAGAAUGAUUCAUACACAUAAAACAUGUUGUUUAUAGAAAGUUUGUUUUGGGAUAGACUCAACUGCUGUUUUGACUCGGAUAGGAGCCUUAAACGCAUUCAAGAAGUUCAUCACUUCCAGUAUUCAAUUUUUCUUCUAGUUGUGUUUUCAUAUCAGCACUCAGAUAUUUCGCAACCAUUGCCCAUUUCUCGUUACGGCAGGAAAUAUAUCAACACUUUGGACUAAAUCAGCAACUUUCUCACAUAUAUAACAUUUGGUUUUAUUCACCUUGAUUUCAGUGUUCUGUUCAAACAGUUUAGGCAGCCAAGAGUAUCCAAGGAUCCAAGGAUACCUUACUUUUAAGCACAUUCAUCUGUUACCUUUUUUCCUAUCAUUGAACGACAUGGUACAUAUUGUAUUACACAAGUUAAGAUUGUUCAUGGAAUAUAUAAUGAUUGCUCAACACAAUUCUGUUUACAAACCCGAGGGAUGCAAUUACAUGUCACAUCAGUAACUCAAAUAAUUUGUAACAUGGUAAUUCAGAAUCCUCAGAGGACAAUAUGCUCAGGGGAAUGAGUCAAGAAUAACAUAACCUGUAGGAACAACCUAAUAAAAAGGACCUCAUUACUGUACGUCCUAUUUCCAUAUUUCAGAUAGCUGUUUUUAGUCAUCUCCAAUAAAUUACUUGAAUACAUGAUUAGUCUUCACGCUCAUUGAAGGGAGAAAUUGUGCCCAGACUGAGUUUCAAAUGUUGAAUGGAAUAUCACAAUUUCCCACCAUGAUCAUUGCAUAAAACUGUGGACAGACUUCAGCUCAAUCAGCUCAAUGUCUAGUUUUGAUUUAUAUUUGAUUGCGUUGUCAAUUAAUAUCAAUAACAAUAAAAAUACCAUGUCAUUGGAUUUAAGUUAAAAGUUGGGUGAAAAAAAGACUAAUAUUCCCGAAAUUCCCUUACAUUGAUGACUUUUUGCUAAUCCAAUCAGUUUCCCACGCUGAUUCAACGUCAUGACAUAGCAUUUUUAUGACGUGGAAACAACAUUGAUUGAACCAGUUUGUGCCCAGUUGGAAGGUACAAGAAACUCAAACUAGUUAAAUAGUGUAAAUAGUCUCCAAUGGCCCUUUUCCUCCUCCCUCUUAGUUGGUGAUCAACAGUGGUAUGUUCUAUUCCUGAAACCGCCAGUCAUCUCCCCUGUCGGUUUGAUCAAAGGCACCUAGAUGACUAGGCGACUAGUCACAAGGACUGUCAGCUCUGCUCAUCAUUACUGGAGCCGUUAUGUGCUUCAGGCCUGUCUGGAGACUGAUGCUGACAGAGGCAAACACAUCAAGAGUUGUCUGGUACCAAGCUCCUCCAGCUCCACUCCGCACCAGGCCCAGUGUCGAGCCCAGCACUGGGCGUAUCAGCUGCUCCUGUAGGAGGUAUCAAGCCCUGGAUAUCUGGGUCUUGCUCUGUGCUUCAGACAGUGAUAGCUGAUGCUGUCUGUGAUUGGUUGUCCAGACAAGUCACCUCCAGGCGGUCUGACCUCAUACCCUACAAUCACAUUCCUGACUCUGUUUGUUCUGGCCAAGCAGAGUUUAUUUCUGGCUUCUUUGUUGAGAUAAGACAAACACAACAAAGUACAAAGGUUAUUUAAGGAACAAUGACAGAUGUGGUUUUGGUUUCCGAGCAAGAGGAAGGAUAAUUUUGUUCCCAUUUUCUUGUAGUCUUCUUUAUACUUUCAGGCCAUCUUGUUAUUAUACAAUUAUCUUCCGUUCUAUUGCUCUUUCGGGUAACUUGGAUGCCUAUUCAUGAUUCUCCAAGAAAAAGUCAUGCUCUUACCCAGCGAAUGGUUAGAUUUGCUUGUGUAUCCAAGCAUUCCAUGACCCAAAAUGCUGUACAAGCUGCCUUUACCAGUGCUUGAGAGAGGCUUCAUUCAAUUUCCUACACGCUGAUUUAUAAUGUGUACAUUUUUGUCCACGUCAGUGCAUAUGCACACUGUAGACUGUGGUUAACUUAAAGCCCCCCGAACCCGUACAAUUCAGGAAGCUCAGCAUAUUGUUUCAAAGUGCUCAUAAAGAAACCUGGAAAAUGACAACAUGCUUUAGGGUGAGCUCAACUUAAGCCUAUGGUGGAAGAAGUGUAUGGCAUUGAAAAGGUCUCUACAAAAUGGUUUCCCCUUUUUCUGCUGGUGGAGGGAAAAAAUAAUGAAAGAAACAAAACUCCUCUUAAAGUGAGAGCAUACAGCAGCCACCAAUGAAGCAGGAGAAAAGCUUAUCCUAUUUCAUCAAAAGUUCCGUUGAAUAUUUAUACAUAAUAUUGACUGGAACCUUAUCUAUAAUGUAUAUAGUAAAUAAAUAUAUAUAAUAAC